UCUUUAUCGAGAGUGGUGGAGGGAUAGGCCCUGUGAAACCACAGCAACCGAUUCGCCGGCGCGAAUGUCAGGUGCUAAUUCCUACCCCUUCAACAGGGGAGAGAUGAGGA
rnacentral:ncRNA from 21 species